UCACCGGCGUGUUUUAUAUCCGGCGUCUUUGAAAUAGUCACGUUGGCACGGUCCGUGGAUUCAGCCCGAUUUCUUUACAUUCGAGCGGACACGGUAAACGGGUGCAACAAGCAUGACGUGUGGGAGCUACCGUACGCGCCUGUCUGAUUGCUGACGCAACGCGGAACAAAGAAAGAACCCUAAGCAACGAGAAUAUAUCCGUGACUUCGUUCCCUGAAGCUGAAGCAGAACGGGCAACAGUUUGACAACGAAUACCCUUCGUAGCAGGUAUUAGAGAGCUGUACUGUGAAGCCCCCCCCCCCCCCCCUGUAUGAGAUGUUUUCACCAAACUACUGUUGUGUAAUAAAGGCUCUUCAUGUUGAGCACCAGUUAGCUUUAAUUGGAUGACCAUAUACAUUCAGCCGGUUAACCAGUUAGCCUCAACUGGAUGACCAUAAGUGACCAACUGGUUAACCAUUCGGGAACCCGUUAGCUUCAAUUGGAUGACCACAUCUAUUCAAGUGGUUAACCAAUUGAACCCCACCUACCUUCAACUGGCUGACCAGUUGGACGCCAGUUCUCUUCAACUGGUUACCCAUUUGGGCACCAGCUAGCUUCAGUUGGUUAACCAGUUGAACACCACCUACCUUCAACUGGCUGACCAGUUGGACACCAGUUCUCUUGAACUGGUUACCCAUUUGGGCACCAGCUAGCUUCAACUGG
rnacentral:lncRNA from 1 species